UUACGGCCUUAUCAUGUUGAAACACCAGGUUCCUCUACAAUCCCCAAAGUUAAGCAACGUCGAGCCUGAUCAGUACCUAGAUGGGUGACUGCUUGGGAAUACCAGAUGCU
rnacentral:rRNA from 1 species